rnacentral:rRNA from 1 species
GACAGUGGCAAACGGGUGAGUAAUAGUUAGGUAACCUGCCUUUAAGUGGGGGAUAACACUUCGAAAGAAGUGCUAAUACCGCAUGUGGUGCUCUUUCAUAAGAAGGACCACUAAAACCGCAAGGUGCUUGAAGAGGGGCCUGACUCCGAUUAGCUAGUUGGUGAGGUAACGGCCCACCAAGGCUGGGAUCGGUAGCUGGUCUGAGAGGAUGGUCAGCCACACUGGGACUGAGACACGGCCCAGACUCCUACGGGAGGCAGCAGCAAGGAAUCUUGGGCAAUGGGCGAAAGCCUGACCCAGCGACGCCGCGUGAGGGAUGAAGGCCUUCGGGUUGUAAACCUCUUUUCUCAGGGAAGAAUAAUGACGGUACCUGAGGAAUAAGUCUCGGCUAACUACGUGCCAGCAGCCGCGGUAAUACGUAGGAGGCGAGCGUUAUCCGGAUUUAUUAGGCUAAAGUGGGCGUAGGUGGUCUUUCAAGUCAGAUGUGAAAUCUCCCGGCUCAACUGGGAGGGGUCAUCUGAUACUGUUGGACUUGAGUACAGCAGGGGAAAAUGGAAUUCCCGGUGUAGUGGUGAAAUGCGUAGAUAUCGGGAGGAACACCAGAGGCGAAGGCGAUUUUCCAGGCUGAAACUGACACUGAGGCCCGGAAGCGUGGGGAGCGAACAGGAUUAGAUACCCUGGUAGUCCACGCCUUAAACUAUGGGUACUAGGUAUAGGGAGUACCGACCCUUUCUGUGCCGAAGCUAACGCUUUAAGUACCCCGCCUGGGGAGUACGGUCGCAAGACUAAAACUCAAAGGAAUUGACGGGGGCCCGCACAAGCAGCGGAGCGUGUGGUUUAAUUCGAUGCUACACGAAGAACCUCACCAAGGCUUGACAUGUUAGAAGUAGUGAACCGAAAGGGAAACGACCUGUCAAAUCAGGAGCUAUCACAGGUGCUGCAUGGCUGUCGUCGGCUCGUGCCGUGAGGUGUAUGGUUAAGUCCUGCAACGAGCGCAACCCUUAUUGCCAGUUAUAUUCUCUGGCGAUACUGCCUCGCAAAACGAGGAGGAAGGUGGGGAUGACGUCAAGUCAGCAUGGCCUUUAUGCCUUGGGCUACACACACGCUACAAUGGGCGGUACAAUGGGUUGCCACCGGGUGACCGGGAGCUAAUCUCCAAAACCGCCCUCAGUUCGGAUCGCAGGCUGAAACCCGCCUGCGUGAAGUCGGAGUUGCUAGUAAACGCGUGUCAGCAUAGCGCGUUGAAUACGUUCUCGGGCCUUGUACACACCGCCCGUCACGUCAUGAAAGUUGGUAACACCUGAAGUCGAUAGGCUAACCCGCAAGGGAGGCAGUCGCCCAAGGUGGGACUGGUAAUUGGGACGAAGUCGUAACAAGGUA